GAAGUACACUUCAAUAGAUUUUGGUCUCUUUGAACUGUAGAAAAGCUUUGAUUAGGCCUCCUUGACUGCAACAGCCUCUUUGACCUCGGCGGCGGCUUCACUGCUCUUCUCCUUGACAGGUUCUUCCUUGGCAGGUUCCACUUCCUCUGGGACUACAAAAGCUGAGACUGGGAAAGUCCUGGAAAGUGUGGUUGGGGACUUAAACGUGAUCUUCUCCUUUUCCUCUGUAUAGAUCUCACUGACACUGACCCAAAUAAGAAGCUCCUUGGCCUUGACUCCAGUGAGCUUCUUGAUCUUACCCGUCUGAACCACGGCCGUGACCUCGGUUCCGUAGGAGACAAGCUUAUCGAUCGUUUCGAACUUGUGGGUGAUGCUCUGUUUCUGCUUCAGCCACACGACACCUGACUCUCUGUCGUACCCAACCUCUUCAAUGGUAGUAAACCAUUGGGCAUAGAUAUUUCUUUGAGGAAGACUUUUGUCUUCUCUCGGCAUAUCUCAUCUCCGGUGUACUUCUCUGCCUUAGCUCUCACCUCCUCUGUGACCAAACCCAUCUCUGCUCUGUUUUUUUAGUUUAAGCUUUACCGCAAAGCUGAAGUUGUGUGUUGUGAUAAGAGGCGACUUAACCUUGUUAUAUAUAGGUUGUGUGGUAUGCGGUGCAUGUAAAAUGCAUUAACGGGCAUGGUUGAGCAGGUUAUGGGUGACUAUAGCAAUCAUCAACACACAACAAUUAUUGUUGUGAACAAUGUAACCUGAAAACGAGAUAUUGCAGCCAAUAUUCCUCCACAUGUGAGAUUAUGUUAUAGUAUUAUUAAUUAUUUGUGAAGUCAGUAGAUAACACUUCAUUGUCAAGAAACUGUAUUUUGUUUACAUUAUAGCAAUAGCAAGUUGUUCACAUUAUAUUUAGAGGUUCUUCUUAUAGCUAAACAUAUGAUAACUCGAAUUAAAUUUUCAAUUGACCAAAAGUUGAGAUGAUGUUGAAACCCUAGGAAUAUCUUUCAAUUUUCCGAUGAUAAAAUCUUCCUCUAAUUCAGGAUCUAAAAUGGGGUUGAGGGAGAUUGUCACAGUCUUUAAACACUUAGAAUUGGCUAGGAUGUAUGUCAAGAAUUCUUCCUCUUCUUCUCUGUGUCCAUAGUAUCUCCAUUCAAAUAUUUUUAGAUGUGACGACAAGCAUCCAGGAAUAGAACUUGGUUGAUUCCAUGAAAGUGGGACAUCCUUGGGUUCAGAGGCAAAUUCCUGUGAAGCAAUGGUGCAUGGCCGUAUGUUAAAAAAAAAGUUACUACUAUUUACCAAAGCUUGAAGAAAAGGAGGGUACGUACAUUAUUAACUACAAGUUCUUCAAGUUUCGGAGUAUUUCCAAGUAAAAGUAAGAGUGGUUCCACGCAGUUUGAUCUACUUGGAUCUACAGAUAACCUAAGAAGUCGAGAAAAUCUUAGGGUGCUACAACGAACAAGCUGUGACAAAACAAACAACAACUUAUAAGUAGAUGCAACAAUGUAAAUCACAACAAGCAAUCAAUAUAUAUAGAUAAACUGAGCUACCAUUUCAUCUUCGAAAGUCAAGACAAGAGACAAGAUCGCCGAAGAAGCUGUUAUGAUCUUGUCAAAAAGAGAUAAACAGUCGACACUAAUAUGUGCCUCCUCAAGACAAGGCAUAUUCCCGAUCGACCAAGAGUGUCUUGAAUAAUCAGUGACGUCAAACUUUAUUAAUGCCGGAGUAUCUAUAACCAAACAACUACCGCUAUCCACUACAUCAGUGUCAUCUAGCAGCCAUGUUGUAUUAUAAUACCAUAACAUCCAUAAAGUAGGCACUUUCACAAUAAAGUUUGUCAGAUUGUCACUCUUCUUUCUUUUCACGAUCAAUAUUCCAAGGACAGGGCAACUAGAUAAGAACCUAGCGAAAGUAUCCUCGUCUUUAUAUACCACACAGGAAAGUUGAAGUAUUUCAAGUGAUGGAAGGCACGAAGGGGAAGAAGAAGAAGGGAAAUCAACAAGAACCUUGUUAGAUAGAGUCAAUUCUUUGAGUGUUUCGCAGGUGUAAAGGCUCUUAGGCAAUGUGGUUGGACCUGCGGACCAGCGAAGCUUGAAUUUUACCACGACCACACCGCGAUCAACAGCCUUUUCAACCCAAUUUCCGACAUUAGCAUCACUAGGACAUCGUCGACCAAGACUAAUAAGCAAUAUUUCUAAGACAGGUGCUUUGUGAAGUUUCAGUGACUUGUCCAAAAACCACCAAAUGCUCUUGCUUUCAAGAUCAUCAUCACCAUCAUCAUUAUCAUCACCACCCCAAUCACGAGCUUGGUUGACAUCAUUGGUUUCAUUGUAAUCAAGGCUAGGCAACAUCAUCCAUAUAUAGCGCCACCUUUUGGACAAAAUCAUGGUGGCUACUGCUUCUUUAAUCGGGACAAGCAACAAAAUCGUCACAAGCAACUCUUCGGGCAAAGCACUGAUCCUGUCUUCACAGUUUAUCUCUUCAAUUUUGGCUUCCGACAUCUUCACGAGGAAAACCCAAGAAUUAAGGAUUCGAAGUAACAAGCAACACAACAAAAUCGUUAUGACCAAAAUAAUAGGAUUGACGUAGCUUAUCUAGCCUAUAUAAAGGAGUUAUAUAAUGAUUUGCAUUCAUUCAUCAGGUUGUGUUUAUAUACAACUAGUUCCUACAUAAAUAAGAAAGAAAUAUAGGCGAUGAAAAAGAAAGAAAUAUUAAUCUCAUCAUGUUUAUUUAGUUUUUUUUUUUUUUGACAUCCAUCAUGUUUAUUUAGUUACUCAUUAAUAGAAUUGAUACAUUUGGCACUAAGAUAAUUAUUAUUUUUUGUUCAAAUUAAGAUAAUUAUCUUUUGCAUGUAGCAAAAACUAAUAGGUAUCAAAUAAAAUUAAACUGUGAACUAAAAUAUAUUUAUGUUAAAAGAUAUAUAGUACUAUCUUGAAUAAGAAAAAAAUCUGUUUUUUUAAUCAAUUAAUUCAAAAAUUUAUUAAUAUUAAGAGAAAAGAAAUUAUAAUAAUUAUUUAUAUAUAUAUCAUCACAAAAUAUAUAUUUUUAUAAAAAUCAUACAAUAGCUAUUUACUGUAAAAAGUAUAAAUUUCUAUAAAUAUAAUUAUACAAUAAAUUACUAAUAUUAUAUAAAAUAAAAUAUAUUUUUUGUAAAAGAAUAUACUUCCAAAAAGUUGUUUAAUUUAUUUCUUUUUUGACUUUUAACAAUAAAUUGUCCCUAUGUUUAUUUUAAUAUUUAUGGCAUGUAAUGUAAUAAUAUAUAUAGUAGAAUUUAUUAUGCUAAUGUAGAAUUUAAGUAAGUAUCCUAUAAAUUUAAUUUGAAAAUUCACAAAAAAAAAUAUAAUAUUGUAUUUUUAUAUUAUAUUAAUAUUUUUAUAUAAAAAUACAUAUUUUAUAUUGGGCCUAAUGGGCUAUAAAGGACACUCAGUUGGGCCUAUGGAUUAGAAUUAAAACGCUAAGAAAACACGCGCAAGAGUUUGAAGAUCUGGAGAAAAAAUUUCUGGGAAAAUUCUGUGUUUCUCGGAGGGAAGAUCCGUAUAUUCCAUAUCCGAAAGGUGUUUCGUUAUUCUUCUGAUCGGCGUCGGGUUGAUCCAGUUGGAUAAUUCGAAAGAUGGAUCCUAACCAGGUGAGAAUGAUUAAUUUCUGAGCUCGAUUGCUUAUCAGAUUCUCGAUUAGCUGCUCGAUCUGGACGUGAUUGUGUUAGAUCUGUGCUCUUCGUAUUCGUAUUAGAACUUGGAAGGCUUGAGCUAGAUAGAAAUGCUAGGUUAAGAAUCGGUUUAAUCGCGAUAAUGCGUAGCGAGAUUAGACUCAGAUGUGAUUAUUCUCGUUUGUUAAUUCAAUGCAGGCACCAGUUGAAAACUAUGCGAAUCCGAAGACGUGUCUCUUCCAUGUUCUCUUCAAGGUAUGAGGAGCCUGAGUAUGAGUCUUUUUAGACUUUUUUAUAAGUGAGGUGGAGAAUGGUAACAUGUUUGUUUUUUUUGGGGGCAGGGUGCUGCGUUGGCGUUUUACAUUCUAUCGGCUCUCUUCUUCAACAGCUUUGUAAUCAUCUUUGUGGUGACUGUUCUUCUUGCGGCGCUUGACUUCUGGGUGGUUAAGAAUGUGAGUGGGCGUAUACUUGUUGGUCUCAGGUGGUGGAACGAGAUCAAUGACUUGGGUGAAAGUGUCUGGAAGUUUGAGUCUCUUGACCAGGAGGUUACCCGCCUUUUUUGCUUAAUAUUUUUACUUUAUUCAAUAGGCUUUUUGAAUACUGAUUCAUUUCGUUUGUGUGCCUGUGUCAGUCGUUGGCUCGGAUGAACAAGAAAGACUCGUGGCUUUUCUGGUGGACGCUUUACCUUGCAGUGAGUAGUUCCUAUCUUAGACUAGACUACAGUUUGUAGCGUAUGUUUAUCACUUAAACCUGUUUCCAGUGCACCUGAAGCUUUAGUUGAGCAUUAGGAGUAAAAAUAGGCAAGAAUGAGCGAAUGGUAAUCAAAUGUUUUAUUACGGUGACGUAUAAGAAUUUCAGAGCAGUCUUAUAGUAUCGUACAUGGACCAUAUAGCUGAGUUCUCUCACCCCACCGACAAGCUGCCGUUUAAAUGAGUUUUAUUUUAUCUAAGAGUUUGUGAGAAUGGUUCUCCUUCUGAGUGGAAUCACAUGCAGAUCACAUUGCAAAAUAGGGAGAAGAAAGUUGGCCAUGUUAUUGUGCAUUUUGAAGUUGCAUUAGUAUAUCCGAUUGACUAAUAGUUGGUAGCUUAAAAAUCUAUAGGCUCAGUUGCAUUACAAACGACCUAUAGAGAGUAAGAAUGAGCCUUGAGAUGGUGGUAGCAAUGGGUUUAGUGUCUAGAGUCAGCAUUACAAACUUGUGAAUAUAUUAUGCUGUCUUUUACCGGAGCUGAAUCUUGUUUUUUUGUUUGUCCUUUCUUCAGGCAGCUGCGUGGUUAGUCCUUGGGAUAUUUUCACUGAUAAGGUUUCAGGCUGACUAUCUGCUCGUUGUCGGCGUUUGCUUGUCCCUCAACGUGGCUAAUAUCAUCGGCUUCACAAAGUGCAAGAAAGGUAAGAUCCAUUCCCGUAUAGCCCUUAUAAUAGUCAAAUGGGCUAUAGAUCAUUAGACUUAACACUUUUUAUUUGGUGGCAGAUGCAAAGAAACAGUUUCAGCAGUUUGCCUCACAGACAAUCGCAUCACGGUUCCAAUCCACGGUACAAUCUGCCUUCACCCUUGUCUGAAAAGAAGAAAAGGUUUGGUGAGAGCAGAGACAGUGUACAAAGAAGAUUUGCCAUAAGCAAACAACAUGUUUUUUGACUGAUUCGUUUUCUCAAUAUACUAUUUUGUAAGGGAUUAAGAAAGAGAUUUAUUAUAUUAUGUCUUCUUACAUGUAUUUUCAUUUUCGACUUACCUUGUUUAAGAAACUUUUUGAGGUUGUAAAACAUUUUGAAAAGAUCUCGAUGUAGCUUUCACUUCAUAGCUUGCUAAUAUGUUUCCAGUGUUCUUGAAGUCACAUACAGAACCAACUUCAAUGUAGUCUAUAGAUAAUUACGGUACUUUUUGUAUAACAGGAUGAUGUUAUUGACAUCUUAUUACAUAUAAAACAUGCAGAAACGAGGGGUAGGUAAUACAUGAGAGUAAGAGCACUGAGAAACACUAACUCUCAAUAGUCUGUUUACAUUGUUGAAGUACACUUCAAUAGAUUUUGGUCUCUUUUAACUGUAGAAAAGCUUUGAUUAGGCCUCCUUGACUGCAACAGCCUCUUUGACCUCGGCGGCGGCUUCACUGCUCUUCUCCUUGACAGGUUCUUCCUUGGCAGGUUCCACUUCCUCUGGGACUACAAAAGCUGAGACUGGGAAAGUCCUGGAAAGUGUGGUUGGGGACUUAAACGUGAUCUUCUCCUUUUCCUCUGUAUAGAUCUCACUGACACUGACCCAGAUAAGAAGCUCCUUGGCCUUGACUCCAGUG
rnacentral:lncRNA from 1 species